rnacentral:rRNA from 1 species
AGCGUAGGCGGUCAAGCAAGUCUGGGGUGAAAGGCAUCGGCUCAACCGAUGUAAGCCUUUGAAACUGUUUGACUUGAGUGCAGGAGAGGAAAGUGGAAUUCCUAGUGUAGCGGUGAAAUGCGUAGAUAUUAGGAGGAACACCAGUGGCGAAGGCGACUUUCUGGACUGUAACUGACGCUGAGGCUCGAAAGCGUGGGGAGCGAACG